CCUCUCCAAAGUGCACCUAUACUGGAUAAUGCAUCAGCCAAAGAUCACAAAGGAGAGAAAACAGAUAUACUCUGCAUCUCACUUUUCCCCAAAACUGCACUGAUCUCCAGUGAAGUAAAAGGGAAAUAAAAACAAACAACAUAAGUGAGGAAAUGGUAAAAAUUAAAGACAACUAACCUCUAAAGAAAUGAGAGAAAGGUGUGUGUUUGGAUUUUGUUUUUCUUUGUUUCUUAAUUCCCUUAUAAAUAAGAGAAUUUUUUUUCUUACAUGGGAUUCUUUUGAUUUAUUUCUUAUUUCUGAAAAAUUUUACAAGAAGAGACUCAGUAGCUAAAGCUAAAUUUAUCUUAUCAAUUACUGAAUAGGGAACAUUAAAAACAUAUAAUCUGAAACUGACCUAAUACAAAACUAGUUUAUUAGUUACAAAUACCCAGUACUGUCUCUGAUAUAUCUUUUGCUGUUAGUAAUUAUAUCAGCUGAUAUGUUACUCAGUAUUUUUAUAUAAAAGAGAAUGUAGACAUUUAAAUGAUUUCUGUAUCAGACUAAACUGGCCAAAAUCAGAAUAUCAGCCAAAAAAUUGGCAUCAAUUUUAAGACAUCCUGGCUAAGGUUAAGAAUUUAUUUGAAGAGAGACUACCUCCAGAAAAGGUGGUUUGAAGUUGACAAAAAGAUUAGGCCAACAAUAUUCACUAUUAUUUGAAGUUUUAGAUUUUUUUAUUCCCUUCUCUCUUCUCUCCAUAUCAGGAAAGCAAUACCUUACAUUUUGUGAAUGAAAGCAAAAAUAUGAGGAAAAAGUGGCAUUUUAAAAAGGGAAUUACAUUGCUUGGAUGGCACCAUGGAUUAUGCCUACUAUAAUCAGAUGGGAAAGUCAUGGUACUAGUAACUUUGAUACCACACAGUCACAAAUAUUUAAAAGUGCUGACAUUUAAAAUUGUUUUAAGGAACUUUUGUUUUCCCUGAUGGACUUUCUUCGAAUCUUACAAUGACAAUAACCAUGCAAGUUUCUCUACACAUGAUUCACAAUUUGGAGUUUAAAAACUUUUUUUGCUUUUUCACUACUACCACAGGAAUUAAGUUUUUGUCUUUCUGUUCUAUUGCACAGGAAAAUGUGGAAAGUUAUAAGAUUAGAAGAAAAGGGUACAUUUGCACUUUAAUCACUUGUCUGGAUUUGAUGCACAUAAAUCAGACAGUCAAACCAUCAGCAUACCAGAAAUUAUUCUCACAGACUUUCACUGACAGUACUUAGCAGUCUUUUAUAUUUCAUGUUUUAUCUCACAGAAAUUUAUGGAAUCUGGUUUUAGGGGUCUAUUUUUUUCCUUUUCUUUUUAAAGUUUGAAGUUAGAAUAAAGGGAAGAAGAAAUUAAAAAGGAGCUUUAACUUUGUCAUUUGUUGGGAAAAAAUUAUAAACAAAGACAAUUAUAAAAAAUCCUUAAAUGAAAAAAUACUGUAAAAUAUUAUUAGAGAAAAGCAACCAAAACCAAGGAAAAAAUAUGCACUGAAAAUGCCAGAUACACUUAUUUCACUUUAGAUAUGCAUUAAAUUUAUUCAGUCAAAGACAGGACUGCUUCAAGUGUACAUGCCAGCACAGACACACACCAAUCCUCAAUAAAGCCUUCCUAACAAACCACUUUCACAGAACUGGCUAACUUUCAGAAAAUAUGUGAUUACUUGAAGUUUAGUUGUGUAAUUCUAUGAAUCCUGUACAAUUUGUAAUCACUCCCAGAGUACUUUAAGUAGAUGUUGGUGAGAGAUUUAGUUGGUCAUUCUCUUAUACAAAUGCUGUAAUUUCUGGUUACUUCUCAAGGCGAGGAGGUGGGGAUGAUCCUUAGAUCAGGAAGUUGCCCUUCCUUGUUGUAGUAUAAGCCAGUUAAAGACUGGAAGACACUGUGUUGAACUGCUCCCUAUUUUAAAAUCGUAUCAUCUUACUGCAUCUUUACAAUCAGUACACAUAUAUUUCUCAUUUCUCAAUGCUUAAAUGGAGCUUUCUGUGAAAUAUUGAGCUUAUAUAUACACACCAAACUUUUUGUGUAUCAUGAAUAUCAUGGGAUUGCAAAAAGCCUUCUCAGUGCAAUGAUCUUUUUAUAUUGUGACAUUGAUUAGAAUUAUUAAGUUGGUAGAAGAAAAAAAAAAAUUGUGUUCCAAAGUAGGACAAACAAACAAACAAAAAAUUCCUAUUACAAACUAUCUUUAUUAUCUUUGAAAAGCUCAUAAGUAUUUACCACCAUAACCUAAUAUUUAUGACUAGUUUCUUAUAAAAGAAAUACUGAGAAACAGACUUGACAGCACAAGCUUAGCAGAGAAGCGUCAUCCAACAUAAAAUAAUUUUAAGGCUUAACAGUACUAUUUUAGUCACUUAAUUCAUCUCCUGUACAAAAGUAGUAGGCAUUCACCAAUCUCUUUUUUUCAUAUUUCUGUGCAUAAAAUUCUUAAUUAUCUUUUUAUAAAAUUAAUUCCAAUAAUAUUUCCCAAGGAGUGGUUGUAAUUGCUUGUUGGUAAAUUGUAUCUGUGGUUAAAUAACUUCAUCUUCAAAAGUGUCAUUCAAUUUUCCUUAUAAUUCUCUUUCUCUUAGAAAGAUUUAAAAAUAAAACAAAUAAAGACAAAAAAAAAAA
ensembl:lncRNA